rnacentral:rRNA from 1 species
AGUGAACGCUGGCGGCGUGCUUAACACAUGCAAGUCGAACGAGAACGGAUUAUAGCUUGCUAUAAUUGUCAGCUAAGUGGCGCACGGGUGAGUAAUGUAUAGGUAAUAUGCCUCUUACUAAGGGAUAACAAAUGGAAACGUUUGCUAAUACCUUAUACUCCUUAUUAACAGAAGUUAAUAAGGGAAAGAUUUAUUGGUAAGAGAUUAGCCUGUAUUGUAUCAGUUAGUUGGUGGGGUAAUGGCUUACCAAGACUAUGACACAUAACUGGUUUGAGAGGAUGAUCAGUCACACUGGAGCUGGGACACGGUCCAGACUCCUACGGGAGGCAGCAGUGGGGAAUAUUGCACAAUGGACGAAAGUCUGAUGCAGCAACGCCGCGUGGAGGAUGACACAUUUCGGUGCGUAAACUCCUUUUAUAUGAGAAGAUAAUGACGGUAUUAUAUGAAUAAGCACCGGCUAACUCCGUGCCAGCCGCCGCGGUAA